rnacentral:lncRNA from 1 species
GAUUUGAGGUUCCAAUUAAAACUGUGUUUGGGCCAUUGCAUUACUGCCUGCUAGUGCUUAAUCUUCACCGAAAAUCUCGUCACUUAUUUUAAAACAAAAGAAGAACAAAGAUGAAGUAAAGAACAACGCCGAGUCUAUGUCUUCCACAGAUCACCAUUUAAGUUAAGUUUAUCAAAUUUGUGUUGAUUACUUAUUUCAUUCUAGGCAAUGCCUCUAGGUUUGGGGAUAUAGGAUGAAUAAAACAUGACUUUUAUCAUCUUGGAUCAUACAAUUAUUGAGGAAGCCAAGCAUGUAUAUCAUUUGAAUACGAUCUGUUGAGCAUUCUGAAAGAGAUCUUUGCAACAUGGUAUUGGAAACUUAAAGAGGGAGAUUCAACCCACCUUGGCAGGGAGGUUAAGCCAAUGAAAAGACACUUGAAAAGAUAAUGCCUAAGCUAUCAAAAAAUGAGUGGAAAACAGCCAGGCAAAAAAAAAAAAAAAAAGAUGCAGAGUUUUAUAGAACAGCAGGAAGAAGAGUACAAAGGCACAGAUAUAAUUAAAAUGAAGGUCAUCUCCCUUGGUGUGUGAUAUGGCAAUAAAACAAGAAUAUUUCCUGAAGAAAAAGGAAGGUUUCCUGAAUGAGUUAAAAGUUGAUAGAAGUCUUAAAGCAUCAGUAUGAGUGAUCCAAAUAAAGAUGUAGGACAGAAUGUUUUCUAAGUGGAAAACAUAACAUUUGAAACUAGUGUUUGUUUAUAACCUUGCUGGACAUCCAUUUGCAAGGCAUAAAUCAAAAUGAAUUUAAGAAUCAAUGGUCUUUUUUUCUUUUCUCUACAUUGUAAGUAGAUGAUGCAUUUAUUCCCACUUCUUUAUACUCUGGGAAAGUCAUAGAAACAUAAAAUUGUAAAAGUGAAGGAAAUUUACUUACUACCAUAUUCAUAUCCCCAUUUUCUGGAUGAUGAAACUGAAGCUCAAAGGGUUGAUGCAACUUGUUCAAGGGUAAGCCAUUUGUUAUUUGUAGAGCCUUGAUAAGAUCCAAUAUCCUUUGUAUCAGCUGGAAUACUUGAAAACUGAAGCAUUUUAAUAUUCCUUCCCUCAAUUCAAGUGGAUAGCCAUUAGAGCAGUACAGUAUACUGGUUAACAGUGCUGGUUCUAAAGUUGAAAUAUCUGCUUUUCACCACUUAGGUGCCAAGUGACUUUAGGCAAGUGAUAUAAUGUUUUUGCUUCAGAUUCCUCAUCCACAAAGCGAUACUUAAUAAUGUAAAGUGCUUAGAUCAAUGCUUAGCACAUAGUAAGCAUUAUAUAAGUGUGCUAUUAUUAUCUGUAUUUAGGUAGUCAAAUAUUAACAUGUGCAUAGAUUAUGGUGUGGAUAAUCUUGCAAAUGAGUCCACUAUCCAAUUUUUUUAGAAUAUGUUAAAAUGACUACCACAUUGCCAAUUUAAUCAAAACCUUUUUGAUUUAUUUUUUUUCUUAAUUUCCACUUUCAUUUUAGAUACAGGGGUACAUGUGCAGGGUUGUUAUAUGGGUAUAUUUCACCGAUCUAGUGAGCAUAUGUAUUAGUCCAUUCUGACAUUGCUAUAAAUAAAUACCCGAGAGUGGGUAAUUUAUAAAGGAAAGGGGUUUAAUUGGCUCAUGGUUCUGUAGGCAGGCUGCACAGGAAGCAUGAUGGCAUCUGCUCAGCUUCUGAGGAGGUAUUUAAAAAAACUUACAAUUAUGGUAGAAGGCAAAGGGGGAACAGGCAUGUCACAUGGCUAGAGCAGGAGCAGGAGAGAGUGGAGGGAGGUGCUAUAUUCUUUUAAAGGACCAGAUCUCAUGAGAACUCACUCACUAUCAUGAAUACAGUACCAUUAGGGUGCUGUUGCUAAAUGAAUGAUGCUAAGCUAUUCAUGAGAAAUCCUCCUCCAUGAUCCAAUCAUCUCUCAACAGGCCCCGCCUCCAACACUGGGGAUUACAUUUCGACAUGAUAUUUGGGUGGGACAUCCAAACCAUAUCAACAUAGAAACCAAUAGGUAGUUUUUCAACCCACACCCCCUUCCCUAACUUCCCUCACUAGUAGUCUGCGGUGCCUAUUGUUCCCAUGUUUAUGUUGCCACGUGCUCAAUGUUCAGCUCCCACUUUUAAGUGAGAACAUGCAGUAUUUGAUUUUCUGUUUCUACAUUUAUUUGUUUAGGAUUAUGGCCUCCAGUUCCAUCCAUGUUGCUGCAAAGGAAAAGAUUUCAUUACUUUUUGUAUUCCAUCGUGUGUAUGAACCACAUUUUAUUUAUCCAAUCUAUCAUUGUUGGGCACCUAGACUGAUUGCACAUCUUUGUCAUUGUGAAUAGUGCUGCCAUGAACAUGCAUGUGUCUUUUUGGUAUAAUUAUCUCUCUCCUUUUGGGAGUAUGACUACUAAUAGGAUUGCCAGGUCAAAUAGUAGCUGUGUUUUAAGUUCUUUGAGAAAUCUCCAAACUAUUUUCCACAGUGGCUAAACUAAUUUACAUUGCCUCCAACAUUAUAUAAGCAUUCCCUUUUCUCUGCAACGUGUCGACAUCUGUUGUAUUUUUUGACUUUUUAAUAAUAGCCCUUGUGACUGGUGUGAGAUGGCAUCUCAUUGUGGUUUUUAUUUGCAUUACUCUGAUGAUUAGGAUGGUGAUCUUCUUUUCAUAUGUUUGUUGUCUUCUUUUGGGAAGUGUCUGUUCAUGUCCUUUGCCCAUUUUUUAUUGUGGUUCUUUGGUUUUUGCUUGUUGAUUUGUGUAAGUUUCUUAUUGAUUCUGCAUAUUACAUAAUCCCAUUUACAAUAUCCACAAAAAAUGUAAUAACUAGGAAUACAGCUAACCAAGGAGGUGAAAGAUCUCUACAAUGAGAAUUACAAAACACGGCUGAAAGAAAUCGGAUAUGACACAAAUAAAUAGAAAAACAUUCCGUGCUCAUGGAUUAGAAAAAUCAAUAUCAUUAAAAUGGCCAUACUGCACAAAGAAAUUUAAAGAUUCAAUUUUAUUCCUAUCAAACUGCCAAUGUCAUUCUUCACAGAAUUAGAAAAAAACUAUUCUAAAAUUCAUAUGUAACCCCAAAAGACCCUGAAUAACCAAAGCAAUCUUAAACUAAAAGAAAAAAAGCCAGAGACAUCACAUUACCCAACUUCAAGCUAUACUGUAAGGUGAUAGUG